rnacentral:rRNA from 1 species
UACAGAGGUCCCGAGCGUUGUUCGGAUUCAUUGGGCGUAAAGGGUGCGUAGGCGGCUUUCUAAGUUUGAUGUGAAAUCCUGGGGCUCAACCCUGGAACUGCAUUGAAUACUGGGAGGCUAGAGUACUGGAGAGGAAACUGGAAUUUACGGUGUAGCAGUGAAAUGCGUAGAGAUCGUAAGGAAGACCAGUGGCGAAGGCGAGUUUCUGGACAGUUACUGACGCUGAGGCACGAAGGCCAGGGGAGCAAACGGG